rfam:Ktedonobacter racemifer DSM 44963 strain SOSP1-21 Krac_Contig206, whole genome shotgun sequence.
CCUGUCUUGUAUCCGGGACUGUCCUCAAUCUCUCUCUGCGUCGCUGGUAACGAUGACGUGGAAAGCGAGAGAUAACGCCCAAGAGAGCUUCAAGCCGAAUGAGGCAAUCGGG